AAAAAAAAAAAAAAAAAGACUUUGAUCUUGGAACCGGAACCAGAACCAGGAUACGCAACACAUCGCUCGACAUGAAGGAGGCCGCGUACCGGGUGGUCCCGGGGGCCCUGCAACAGACAUUUGAGGAACGUUAGACGGCGUGAAGUAAACCUGAACCGGGAGUGGCUUUGAGCAGCUUUCUUUCCCGGAUCUGCAAAAACUGCCGUUUGCUUCCAGCAUCCACGGACCCGUGAAGGUGGACCUCGUCUUACCGGCACCAUGGAGUAGCUCGAGCGCCUCGCUCCUCUUGUUCCUGGAGUAGCCGUACUGAGUUUUCCCGGCAGCCAUCUGCGCCGCCGCCCGUUCUCGGGGCACCUCCCGGAGGAACUCCACCACUGAGCUCUGCUCCACCUCGGUCAGCCUGGC